GAAACAUAGAGCUGGAGAACAGGGGAUCAGGAACAGAAACAUAGAGCUGGAGAACAGGGGAUGAGGAACAGAAACAUAGAGCUGGAGAACAGGGGAUCAGGAACAGAAACAUAGAGCUGGAGAACAGGGGAUCAGGAACAGAAACAUAGAGCUGGAGAACAGAGGAUCAGAAACAUAGAGCUGGAGAACAGGGGAUCAGGAACAGAAACAUAGAGCUGGAGAACAGAGGAUCAGGAACAGAAACAUAGAGCUGGAGAACAGGGGAUCAGGAACAGAAACAGAGCUGGAGAACAGGGGAUCAGGAACAGAAACAUAGAGCUGGAGAACAGGGGAUCAGGAACAGAAACAUAGAGCUGGAGAACAGGGGAUCAGGAACAGAAACAUAGAGCUGGAGAACAGAGGAUCAGGAACAGAAACAUAGAGCUGGAGAACAGGGGAUCAGGAACAGAAACAUAGAGCUGGAGAACAGGGGAUCAGGAACAGAAACAUAGAGCUGGAGAACAGGGGAUCAGAAACAUAGAGCUGGAGAACAGAGGAUCAGGAACAGAAACAUAGAGCUGGAGAACAGGGGAUCAGGAACAGAAACAUAGAGCUGGAGAACAGAGGAUCAGGAACAGAAACAUAGAGCUGGAGAACAGAGGAUCAGGAACAGAAACAUAGAGCUGGAGAACAGAGGAUCAGGAACAGAAACAUAGAGCUGGAGAACAGAGGAUCAGGAACAGAAACAUAGAGCUGGAGAACAGGGGAUCAGGAACAGAAACAUAGAGCUGGAGAACAGAGGAUCAGAAACAUAGAGCUGGAGAACAGGGGAUCAGGAACAGAAACAUAGAGCUGGAGAACAGAGGAUCAGGAACAGAAACAUAGAGCUGGAGAACAGAGGAUCAGAAACAUAGAGCUGGAGAACAGGGGAUCAGGAACAGAAACAUAGAGCUGGAGAACAGAGGAUCAGAAACAUAGAGCUGGAGAACAGGGGAUCAUGAACAGAAACAUAGAGCUGGAGAACAGGGGAUCAGGAACAGAAACAUAGAGCUGGAGAACAGAGGAUCAGAAACAUAGAGCUGGAGAACAGGGGAUCAGGAACAGAAACAUAGAGCUGGAGAACAGAGGAUCAGGAACAGAAACAUAGAGCUGGAGAACAGGGGAUCAGGAACAGAAACAUAGAGCUGGAGAACAGAGGAUCAGGAACAGAAACAUAGAGCUGGAGAACAGGGGAUCAGGAACAGAAACAUAGAGCUGGAGAACAGGGGAUCAGGAACAGAAACAUAGAGCUGGAGAAGAGAGGAUCAGGAACAGAAACAUAGAGCUGGAGAACAGAGGAUCAGAAACAGAAAUAUAGAGCUGGAGAACAGAGGAUCAGGAACAGAAAUAUAGAGCUGGAGAACAGAGGAUCAGGAACAGAAACAGAGCUGGAGAACAGAGGAUCAGGAACAGAAACAUAGAGCUGGAGAACAGAGGAUCAGAAACAUAGAGCUGGAGAACAGAGGAUCAGGAACAGAAACAUAGAGCUGGAGAACAGAGGAUCAGAAACAUAGAGCUGGAGAACAGUGGAUCAGGAACAGAAACAUAGAGCUGGAGAACAGGGGAUCAAGAACAGAAACAUAGAGCUGGAGAACAGAGGAUCAGAAACAUAGAGCAGGGGAUCAGGAACAGAAACAUAGAGCUGGAGAACAGAGGAUCAGGAACAGAAACAUAGAGCUGGAGAACAGGGGAUCAGGAACAGAAACAUAGAGCUGAGGAACAGGGGAUCAGGAACAGAAACAUAGAGCUGGAGAACAGAGGAUCAGAAACAUAGAGCUGGAGAACAGAGGAUCAGGAACAGAAACAUAGAGCUGGAGAACAGAGGAUCAGGAACAAAAACAGAGCUUGAGAACAGAGGAUCAGGAACAGAAACAUAGAGCUGGAGAACAGAGGAUCAGGAACAGAAACAUAGAGCUGGAGAACAGAGGAUCAGGAACAGAAACAUUGAGCUGGAGAACAGGGGAUCAGGAACAGAAACAUAGAGCUGGAGAACAGGGGAUCAGGAACAGAAACAUAGAGCUGGAGAACAGGGGAUCAGGAACAGAAACAUAGAGCUGGAGAACAGAGGAUCAGAAACAUAGAGCUGGAGAACAGAGGAUCAGGAACAGAAACAUAGAGCUGGAGAACAGAGGAUCAGGAACAGAAACAUAGAGCUGGAGAACAGAGGAUCAGAAACAUAGAGCUGGAGAACAGGGGAUCAGGAACAGAAAUAUAGAGCUGGAGAACAGAGGAUCAG
rnacentral:lncRNA from 1 species